rnacentral:rRNA from 1 species
GGUAUUGAAAUAAGAUUUUAAAUGAGUGCUAAGAGAAUGAUUAAACAAUUAAAAGCUUUCUUUAAUUGAAUAAUUGAAUUUAAUUUUUUAGUGCAAAAGCAAAAAUAAAAAUUAGGGACAAGAAGACCCUAUGAAUUUUUUAUUAAAUUUUAUAAAACUUUAUAUAAAGUUUAAUUUAAUUGGGGUGAUGGAAAAAGAAUAAAUAUCUUUUUUUUUAAAGAAAAUUGGUUCCGUUUUUAGCGAUUAAAUGAAAAAAAUACUCUAGGGAUAACAGCGUAAUAA